rnacentral:lncRNA from 9 species
GGAGAUGUUCCUUAAAGAGUCUUUUCAUUUUGCAUAUAAUUCUAAUUAUAGAUGUGAUUUGCUCAUCCAGCCAGGUAGACUACACCUGCAGAAAGCGCAGGGUCGGUCGGCGACUCCCCUGCCUCACCCGCCCCGCAGGGGGGCUGAGGGACAGAAGGGGCUUUGUUCUCAUUAGCAAAAUUCAUUUUCUUCCUGAUAAGGAGAGAAAUAAAAACCACGCAUUCUCCCCCACAGACUCUGAGUGCAAGCCUCUGGGUGACGAGACAACCGCGGUUCUGCCCCAGAGCGGGCUGCGCUGCGCUCCCGCUCUGAUGAUGGAACCUGCAGUCGCCUCCUCCCACCUGCCGGCAGUCAGGUCAGCAGGAGGGCUGGUGGAAUCGAAGCCAUCAAGGACUGAAGUUCCUUUGGAGGCGCUUUCCUGCUAAGUACGGUCCAUGCUGUUGCAGUUCUCUAAAACUUAGGGCAACAGCCAGUCAUGGACGAAACGACUGCUGUCCGUCUCCUCCAUCCCCUCCGAAGAAAGGAAAGAAAGGAAAAGACAAGACAGAGAGAGUUCCCCUCUAUCUCCCGAGGGGCCAACCAGGCCGUCCGCGGGGGGGGACUUGCUUGCUCGGGGAAAAGUUACGUGCUGCUCCUCAUCCUGUUUCAGAGGUGGCCUGAACUGGAGCCCCACUCAGCCUUUGGCUGGAAAAGCCCAGUCGUGGGAGCCGAGGCUGGCUCCAAGGGGAGAUCAAAGGUGUGUGCUUACCUGGAGCUGAAGACCUCUGGCUGCUUUUGCCCCCCAGGGCCUGGGGAAGGAGAUGGGCCCUGCCCCCUUGCAGUGGCCUGCAGCUGGAAUUGCCAGAUACGAUCCGAAGGUCCAGAUCUGCUGCCACCUCUCUGUCAGAUGACUUUUCCGAAAGAGGUGAGGAAGGAACAGAUGACAGAGCCGGACAGUGAACAGGGAGGCUCUCCUUGCAUCCUGCUCCUCCUGAGCCUGCCUCACCAUCCCCACACCCACGGUGGGUGCUCAGUUUGCAGAAGAAAGAGAAGAAGGAAGAUGAGGGAGAAGGGACAAGAGUGCCAGCCAGGGGACAUGGGACUCCCAGAAAUAAGAAGCAUGGCGAGUAUUUCUUUUUUUUACCUUUUUGGUUUUUUAGGGCUAUGUCUGCGGCAUAUGGAGGUUCCCAGGUUAGGGGUUGAAUCGGAGCUGCAGCUGCUGUAUCUGAGCUGUGUCUGCGACCUACACCACAGCUCACGGCAACGCCAGAUCCCCAAGACACUGAGCAAGGCCAGGGAUCGAACCCGAGUCCUCAGAAAUGCUAGCUGGGUUCAUUAACCACUGAGCCACAAUGGGAACUCCAUGGUGUGUAUUUCUUAAGUGGUUUGUAUUCCACACGUUGCAAUAUCUCAGCAUAGCUCUUAAGACCACACAGAUGCAAGAAAAAUGGGGCUUCCUUCACUCUCCAGAGAGUGAAGGACUGUGCGUGAAUAUUCUUGUGGCAUCUCUAGACCCACAGGGGCCGCUUUAAAAACCAAGAACUGAGUCUUCACACUGGGUCUCAGGUUGUACAGACUGAGCUACUCGCUGAGGGAGGAACGAAUUAAAAUAGCCCAUUUGUGCAAAUACCAGAGUGUGCGGUUAAUCCAGCCCCUCGGGUGCCCAGGUAUUUGGUUAAAUAUUAUUGUGGGUGUGUCUGUGAAGGUAUUUCUGAUGAGAACAGCACUCGGGUCAGUAGAUGCGUAAAGCAGAGGGCCUCCCCGGUGUGGGGGGCCUCGCCCCAGCUGCUGAAGGUCUGGAGGAGUGAAGGCUGAGUAUGGGGGCUCUUCUCGCGACCUGACUGUCUUUGAGCAGCAGGGGCGGGGGGCUCGUCCCUCUGCCUUGAGACACAGACUCGGGCUAGAACCACACGGUGAGCUCUCCUGGGCCGGACUGCAUGUCUUGGUGCUUCUCGGCCUCCAAAGUCUCCAGAGCCAAUUUCACACACACACACACACACACAUACACACACACACACACACACACACACAGAGUCAUUGUGACAGGUUGGGGUUUUGCGUGGUAGUUGCGGGCAUUAAGUUUCCAGUUACGGUGACAUCAGAAUUCUGACGGAGGGAGGAAGGGACGUCCCUGGCGACCGCGUGCUGACGGCUUCGAGACUAAACAAGCUUUGCUUGGACACCACUGCCCGCGCUGUCCGUGCUCACCGCCCUGGGGCUCCGAGCGGCCUGGUCGAGGUGGUGUCAGGCUGGCAGAGCAAAAUCACUGCUACGUGACUCUCAACUGUGAAAUUCUGCAGUCACGCUAUGAGUUGCUCCCCUUAACAAUUGUGCGGCUUCCAGACUCCUGGGAAGGUGAAAAUGAUUUAGAGUUUAUGGGGAGGAGUGUGGUUUCAUCCCAAAAACGGGGCUGCUGUGACGGCCAAGGGGGCCACUGACGGGUUCUGGUCUCUUCCCCUGUUCUGAUUUUCCUGAUUUUCAGCCUGAUGUCUUUUAAAAAAAGAAAAACAGACUUGCUUUGGGUUUUUGCGCAUCCACCAAGUCCAUUUGAAAACUUGAUUCUUGGAGAAUGGAAAUGAUUUCAUGGUUGGGAAAGAUCGUCCACAGAAAUGCUUCUUUUUUUAAGCAGUGGUUUUUGAUUCUGCAUAUUCAGAAAGAGCCGCAGUCUACAUGUGAAUAAGCUUGCCCGGUUUGAGAAGAAUUAGAUGGAGUCAAAGCGUAAGCCCUAGAAGUGGAAAGCGUGUUUCUGUGACACUGUCAGCAGCUCACGGAGGUCUUCCUGGAGUGUUCUCUCCCUGCAACAGCAGCUUUUAAUCUGCACUGGUGUUACAGAGAGUAGAGUGAUCGCAGAGACCAGUCGCAUCAAAACCCCUCCCACUGCAUGACGGAGCUGCCCUUUCCAGAUGGAGCCCUGAUUCCUCCCCCCAAAAUCUUUAAUAUAAAAGUUAAUUAGGGCCAGAGUUCCCACUGCGGUGCAGCGCGUUAAAGAUCUGGCAUUGUGGAGUUCCUGUCGUGGCGCAGUGGUUAACGAAUCCGACUAGGAACCAUGAGGUUGCGGGUUCGGUCCCUGCCCCUGCUCAGUGGGUUAACGAUCCGGCGUUGCCGUGAGCUGUGGUGUAGUUUGCAGACGCGGCUCGGAUCCCGCGCUGCAGUGGCUCUGGCGUAGGCCAGUGGCUACAGCUCCGAUUGGACCCCUAGCCUGGGAACCUCCAUAUGCCGUGGGAGCGGCCCAAAGAAAUAGCAAAAAGACAAAAAAAAAAAAUUAAAAAAAAAAAAAAAAAGAUCUGGCAUUGCGGCAGCUGCAGCAUAGGGCACAGUUGCGGCUCGGAUUCAAUCCCUGGCCCAGGAACUUAUGGGUACAGGUGAAAAAGAAAGAAAAAAAAAAAUUAGGGCCAAUAAUCACUGUAUUACUUCAGCUAUUGUAUACAUAUCUUCCCCAUAGAUUUGAUGAGAAAAAGAAUCCUUCUGAGACACUAGCUAUUCCUUGAGGUUUUUCCCUGAAGGGUUCCUUGCUCUUUAGUAUAAGCCAUUGUCCUGGGCCCUGUGUUUUGAGGAGUCAGUCCUAGGUGGGAUAUAUGGGUGACCAGUGCUCAUAGCUAGACCCCAGACGUAUGGCCCACCUCCCCCAGUGUCUCAAGAACCUAAGCUGGCUCCCCAUCCGCUGCAUCAGCUCAACGCGUGCUGGAUUCCUGAUCCCAUGCACACUCCUCCCCACAUUCCCACUCUCAUUCUGGAUGGAUUUUCUGCCUCCCCUGCCUCCCCGAUCCCAGCCCAGGUUUCUCUUUGCCCCAUUUUGAGUCCUGACUCCAUCCAGAAGCAUCCUAAGUCCAUCUCAAUCCACCAUUCUAGUUCCCUGUUCUUCAGUAGAAGUGGUUCUUCAUGGCUUCAUUUGUUUGUUUACCCAUCAAAUGUGUAUUAAGCCCCUCCGUUAUCAUAAGACACCAGUCCAGGCACUGAGGACACAAGGGUAAACGAGUCACAGCCUGGAACUUUCAGGAAAGACAGUCCCACGUCCUCCCAGGGGCAAGUGGGGAGGGACCCACACGACAGGUGGGACGGUGGGAUUCCUGCUUUGGGGUUUGGCUGGGGUCCUGAGUCCUCUGGGGAUGCUCGGGCGGUCAGCGUGCGGAGGAAGUCUGAGGCAAGGGUGGGCAGGGCCUGGAUCAGGGCCACCCCGCGGUUUCAUCACACGUCCCUGGGCUGUGAAAGGGAACUGGCCGCAGCGACCAGGCAGAGGCUCCAGAAGUUUUCCACAUAUGAGAGGUUCGGAUUUAGAUGAAGGCCCUGGUGGUAGGGCUGCAGAAGAAGACAGACCUACCACUUCGGAGUGUAUUUUUUUAGGAAGCAACCACAGCUGGCAUCAGAACAGAGAGGAAUGGACUCCUAUCAGAGUUUUGGUUUCAAUGUUGUCCAAGAGUGAAGAUGACCAUUAGCCUUCCCGUCAUCCUUCGAUGUGAUCGGGUAAUUAAGUCUUACUAUUUAUUGCCACCUGGUGCACGUCUGGCCUAGAGAGCCAAAUACCAAGGCCAGUCCCGCUUUGCAAUGUCACAGUCUAGUCGCAGAAACAGUCACACUGCAGUGCAGUGUCUGCAGAGAGAAGGCUGCAUCAGGUGCCAGGUCUCGGGCAGCAGCAUGCAGCGUGGAGGCUGCUGGCUGCACUUCACAAAGGCCUGGCAUUCCCGAGGAAGGGCAGUUUCAGUGAGAAGCGAAAUGGGCCAGUGGACACCAGGCUUGAUGUCAGCAGAGAGGGGAAAACUGCUCUUAACGUUAAUAAGAGAAAAAUCAGUGACUGAUGAAAGCUUUUUUUUUUUUUUUUUUUGCUUUUUAGGGCCACACCUGAGGCAUAUGGAGGUUCCCAGGCUAGGGGUCAAAUCAGAGCUACAGUUGCCGACCUAGGCCACAGCCACAGCCACGCCAGAUCCCUGACCCACUGAGUGAGGCCAGGGAUGGAACCCGCAUCCUCAUGGAUACUAGUGUGAUUGUUCCUGCUGCACCACAAAUGGGAAAGCAUUUUGAACAGCUAUCACUGUGUAGUACCUUGAAGCCAGUGAGUUCAGGCCCUGGCACAGGUGGCUGAUAUUGUGGUAGGCAUUUCCACUCACGCCAUCGCAUUUGACUGCAAACCUCCAGAGAGUUAGGAAUCGUUACCUCCAUUCUACAGACACAAGGCUGAGGCUGUGUGCAGGUAAGGAGCUUGCAGAAGCCUGUAGAUCCAGGAAAGUGGGACCUGGGAUGGAACCCGGGUCUCCAGAUUCCUCUCUGCAGCUCACGCGGGGGUGCGAUGCUGCUGCUUUCUCCUUCUCCUGCCACCAAGACGAACGAAGAGAAUUAAUUAUUUCAAGCUUAUUUCUGCCUCCUUAAUAAACACAGGUGGACAUCUCUCCUGGCAGAAUUUGGCUCAAAGAAAAUGACAGUUCAUCAUUUCCAGUCAUGGGACAAAGAACUCGGGGACAGCCUGCGUGGUAGCCAUGGACCCUGGGUGGGGAGCGGGGAACACAUCUAGGAAAACUGGCAUUUGGUUGCUAAUGAAACAUUUUUAAGAAGUCUUAUUGCUAAUGGGUCUUUUGAAUUCGACAUUCAAAUAAUUGUACUUACUGCUUGAGCAUCAUUUUGCUUAAGAACGAAAUGCAGUGUGGAUGCAGGAAUAUUUUAUGGAAGUGUGAUCAUUACAUUGCAUCGGUUAGUGGCAAUUAUUUUCAUUUCUAUGUUAUUAAAAGUUUAGGGAUGAAAUAAAAAGGAAUUUAAACUCCCCAAACUUAUUUCCAAAAUGACAUUUUAAAGUUUUGUGUGG